rnacentral:rRNA from 1 species
GAUGAACGCUAGCGGCAGGCUUAACACAUGCAAGUCGAGGGGCAGCAUGAAGGUUAGCAAUAACCUUUGAUGGCGACCGGCGCAAGGGUGCGUAACGCGUGAGCAACUUGCCCGUUUCAGGGGGAUAACCGGUGGAAACGCCGACUAAUACCCCAUGGCAUCAUUGGGAGGCAUCUCCUUAUGAUUAAAGAAUUUCGGAAACGGAUAGGCUCGCGUGACAUUAGCUAGACGGCGGGGUAACGGCCCACCGUGGCGACGAUCAGUAGCCGGUCUGAGAGGAUGAACGGCCACAUUGGGACUGAGAUACGGCCCAGACUCCUACGGGAGGCAGCAGUGGGGAAUAUUGGGCAAUGGGGGAAACCCUGACCCAGCAACGCCGCGUGAAGGAAGAAGGGCCCUUCGGGUUGUAAACUUCUUUAGUAGGUACGAAGAACGUGACGGUACCUACAGAAAAAGAC